GUAAUCCGCCCCUACUCCUUAUCGGUUGCCUUGGCCCUUGAUGUUGCGUCCCAUGGUGGAGUCGGCCGAGUCCGAUGACACAAUGCAUA